CCUACGGGAGGCAGCAGUGGGGAAUAUUGGACAAUGGGCGAAAGCCUGAUCCAGCAAUGCCGCGUGAGUGAUGAAGGCCUUAGGGUUGUAAAGCUCUUUUACCAGGGAUGAUAAUGACAGUACCUGGAGAAUAAGCUCCGGCUAACUCCGUGCCAGCAGCCGCGGUAAUACGGAGGGAGCUAGCGUUGUUCGGAAUUACUGGGCGUAAAGCGUGCGUAGGCGGUUAUUCAAGUCAGAGGUGAAAGCCCGGGGCUCAACCCCGGAACUGCCUUUGAAACUAGAUAACUAGAAUCUUGGAGAGGUUAGUGGAAUUCCGAGUGUAGAGGUGAAAUUCGUAGAUAUUCGGAAGAACACCAGUGGCGAAGGCGACUAACUGGACAAGCAUUGACGCUGAGGUACGAAAGCGUGGGGAGCAAACAGGAUUAGAUACCCUGGUAGUCCACGCCGUAAACGAUGAUAACUAGCUGUCCGGGCACGUUGGGUGUCGUUGGGUUGGGUCGGCGACGCGUAACGACGAUUAAGUUUAAUUCCGUCCGUCGGGGUAGGUACGGGUCGGUCGAACGAAUUAAACUUAACUAAAUAGAAUUAGUACGGCGUGAGACGUGCCGACGGACGACGACGAGGGAGGUAGG
rnacentral:rRNA from 1 species